UGGCGGCAGUAGCGCGGUGGUCCCACCUGACCCCAUGCCGAACUCAGAAGUGAAACGCCGCAGCGCCGAUGGUAGUGUGGGGUCUCCCCAUGCGAGAGUAGGGAACUGCCAGACA
rnacentral:rRNA from 1 species